rnacentral:miRNA from 9 species
UGCAUUGCGACGGGUUACAUCA